AUAUUUACCUCGCAGGGGUGAGAUCAUGGUUAGGAAAGGGUUUUGCCCAAGGCGAGGCUCAGCCAUUGCACUUCGGCUGUACUGACCCUUGUGAAUUCCCCAAAUGCGGGACUCUCGUCUGUUUGC
ensembl:snRNA U1 U1 spliceosomal RNA